GCACAAGCGGCGGAGCAUGUGGAUUAAUUCGAUGCAACGCGAAGAACCUUACCUGGGCUUGACAUAUGCAGGAUCGGCGUAGAGAUACGUUUUCCCUUGUGGUCUGUAUACAGGUGGUGCAUGGUUGUCGUCAGCUCGUGUCGUGAGAUGUUGGGUUAAGUCCCGCAACGAGCGCAACCCUUGUCUUAUGUUGCCAGCACGUGAUGGUGGGGACUCAUGAGAGACUGCCGGGGUUAACUCGGAGGAAGGUGGGGAUGACGUCAAAUCAUCAUGCCCCUUAUGUCCAGGGCUUCACACAUGCUACAAUGGUCGGUACAACGCGCUGCGAGCCUGUGAGGGUGAGCGAAUCGCUGAAAGCCGGCCUCAGUUCGGAUUGGGGUCUGCAACUCGACCCCAUGAAGUCGGAGUCGCUAGUAAU
rnacentral:rRNA from 1 species